GUGCUCACUUUGGCAGCAUUUACACUAAAAUUGGAAUGAUACAGAGAAGAUUCACAUGACCCCUGCACAAGGAUGACAAGCAAAUUCAUGAAGCAUUCCAUAUUUUU